rnacentral:rRNA from 1 species
UACGUAGGGGGCAAGCGUUGUCCGGAUUUAUUGGGCGUAAAGAGCGUGUAGGCGGCUAGGUAGGUCCGUUGUGAAAACUCGAGGCUCAACCUCGAGACGCCGAUGGAAACCAUCUAGCUAGAGUCCGGAAGAGGAGAGUGGAAUUCCUGGUGUAGCGGUGAAAUGCGCAGAUAUCAGGAAGAACACCCGUGUCUAAGGCGGCUCUCUAGUACGGUACUGACGCUGAGACGCGAAAGCGUGGGGAGCGAACAGG